GGUACCUUCACUGUAUUUUACUACUCCUGCUUCAAACCUCGACACAGGCAAAACAGUGACUGCAAGACCUUCUGCAAGAGGAACUGUCCAGCUAUAAAACUCAUGGGUCAUUUAAUUUUCAGAGGCCACCUUCCAAGCACAAACUGAGUCCCAUUUUCUCUGUUGAAUAUACAAGCUUGAAAUGAAAGUUGUGCAAUGUGGACUUAGCAGAGUUCCUGUCACACUCCUGGAACUUUCCGGCUGUCACUAUCUGUAGAAAUGGCAAGAUCUGAAGCUUCCUUCCUGUUGGCACUCUUUGGCUCCGGCCGAUAAGCCUGGGUGGUUGGUCAUGGAGGUGUCGGAGCCUAACUUGCCAAACAAUGCAUGCAAGACAAGAUACACUCUGGACAGGCCGCCAGUCCAUCUCUGGGCACACACAAACUCACACUGAGGACCAGUUUUCAGUAAGUCUUGUGUCUGUGGAAGGAAACUGGAGUCAUAAGAUAAUAUUUACAGAAAUUAAACUUAAAAGAAUGCUUUGUCAUA